rnacentral:rRNA from 1 species
AUUGAACGCUGGCGGCAUGCCUUACACAUGCAAGUCGAACGGUAACAGGUUAAGCUGACGAGUGGCGAACGGGUGAGUAACACAUCGGAACGUGCCCAAUCGUGGGGGAUAACGUAGCGAAAGCUACGCUAAUACCGCAUACGAUCUACGGAUGAAAGCGGGGGAUCGCAAGACCUCGCGCGAAUGGAGCGGCCGAUGGCAGAUUAGGUAGUUGGUGGGGUAAAGGCUCACCAAGCCGACGAUCUGUAGCUGGUCUGAGAGGACGACCAGCCACACUGGGACUGAGACACGGCCCAGACUCCUACGGGAGGCAGCAGUGGGGGAAUUUUGGACAAUGGGCGCAAGCCUGAUCCAGCAAUGCCGCGUGCAGGAUGAAGGCCUUC